rnacentral:lncRNA from 1 species
CCUGGUCAUAAUUAUACCAAGUCCAUCUAUGCACUACAGGCCACAGAUGACUUUCAACACAACACAAGCAUGAGAAUGAUGACAAUGAUAUAAGCAUUAAUCAAACAAAACCAGGAUAAAUAUUAAAGACUUUAAAUUUAUCCAAAUAUUAUCAAUCACUUAAUAAACUCAUAAUCUAAUAUUAUUAAUAUUAUAAUAAUAUUUUAA